rnacentral:lncRNA from 1 species
GUUGCUUUACACGGUAUCUUUAUGUUAGUAAAACUAAAGUAAAACUCAGGCUUCCUCAAUCAACCAUUCACUUGUGCUUUUACACUCUAGAGAGAAUCUCUUAUGUUCACCUGUCCAUAUUUAAGAGAUGAACUUUUGCUGGGUCCUGCUGUACUUGGUUUUUCCAGAUCGGCUUAGCUAGUCCAGCAAGGACUUCACAUCACCUUCACAUAACCUAACCUAACUUAACUCUCCCACUUUUCAACUGGGAAGGACCUUUCACGAGGAAAUGCCUCAUGAUUUGUUUAUAAAUAUUCUACCUUCAGCAACAGUGCAGUUAGAGGAGCUUAUUUGUGCAUUUCUCUUAUACAGAAGAAGAUAAAUGUGUUACCUUUCAACAGAUCUUGGAUCUUGGCUCCACUUUGAGUAAAGGAGUGUCCCUAACAUCUGUUAUCUGUGCAGGACUUGGCAGACGGGGGUAUCCUGUCAGAGUAUCUUCAGCAUUUUCAACAGGUAGGGUCGGGGCUCU